UAGUGGAAUGGCUUGUAGCAAACUGGAUAGGAACCCCUCAUUGUGAGUCUUUUCUCAGCCCUUCCACAGUGAGAAGACCUUCCUGCUUUCUGAGGUAGUUCAAGGAAGAAAGAUUCCUUGAACUCACAAGAAGUGCCAUGGAGGACUGUGAGUGCUGGGAGCAGCAGAAGUCAGGAGGUGCAUCGGUGACGUGGUUCUCUGGGGUUAAUGAAUGUUCCUGGUAACUCUGGAAAACCAUAAUGGAAGUAUCUGCAUACCACUGAGAUGAAGCAACUCCAAACCAUCCCCUGUGAAGAGAAUCUCAAUCC
rnacentral:lncRNA from 1 species